rnacentral:rRNA from 1 species
GACGAACGCUGGCGGCGUGCUUAACACAUGCGAGUCGAACGAUGAUCUCCCGCUUGCGGGGGUGAUUAGUGGCGAACGGGUGAGUAAUACGUGAGUACACUGCCCUUGACUCUGGGAUAAGCCUGGGAAACCGGGUCUAAUACUGGAUACUACUUCCUGCCGCAUGGUGGGGGGUGGAAAUGGUUUUACUGUUUGUGGUUGGGCUCACGGCCUAUCAGCUUGUUGGUGGGGGAAUGGCUAACCAAGCCGAGGACAGGUAGCCGGCCGGUGAGGGUGACCGGCGACACAGGGUCUGACACACGGCCCCGGCGCCUACUAUUGGCCGCAGUGCGCAAGCUUGAACCAUGGGUGCCGGCCGGAUGCAGCGACGCCGCGGGUUGGAUGACCGUCUUGGUGUUAUAGACCUGUUUCAGCAGGAAAGAAGCCACUAGUGACGGUACCUGCAGAAGAAGCACCGGCUAACUACGUG